rnacentral:rRNA from 1 species
GAUGAACGCUGGCGGCGUGCCUAAUACAUGCAAGUCGAGCGAACAGACGAGGAGCUUGCUCCUCUGACGUUAGCGGCGGACGGGUGAGUAACACGUGGAUAACCUACCUAUAAGACUGGGAUAACUUCGGGAAACCGGAGCUAAUACCGGAUAAUAUAUUGAACCGCAUGGUUCAAUAGUGAAAGACGGUUUUGCUGUCACUUAUAGAUGGAUCCGCGCCGCAUUAGCUAGUUGGUAAGGUAACGGCUUACCAAGGCAACGAUGCGUAGCCGACCUGAGAGGGUGCUCGGCCACACUGGAACUGAGACACGGUCCAGACUCCUACGGGAGGCAGCAGUAGGGAAUCUUCCGCAAUGGGCGAAAGCCUGACGGAGCAACGCCGCGUGAGUGAUGAAGGUCUUCGGAUCGUAAAACUCUGUUAUUAGGGAAGAACAAAUGUGUAAGUAACUAUGCACGUCUUGACGGUACCUAAUCAGAAAGCAACGGCUAACUACGUG